rnacentral:rRNA from 1 species
AGUAAUGUAUGGGGAUCUGCCUGAUGGCGGGGGAUAACUACUGGAAACGAUAGCUAAUACCGCAUAAUGUCUGCGGACCAAAGCGGGGGACCUCCGGGCCUCGCGCCAUCAGAUGAACCCAUAUGGGAUUAGCUAGUAGGUAAGGUAACGGCUUACCUAGGCGACGAUCCCUAGCUGGUCUGAGAGGAUGAUCAGCCACACUGGGACUGAGACACGGCCCAG